rnacentral:rRNA from 1 species
UCUUUUAGAUGCAAGGGGAGUUUUUUUUAGAUCUGUAGAUGCAUAUUCUUUUUUUCGUGAGGAGAGUAGAGUCAGCUAGGGGUGGUGACGGUCCUAGGAAUAGGUAGGCGUACGCGGUGUAGAAGGCUAAUCGCCGGUCGCCUACUUCUACAGCGGCGAACGGUAGUAGUCUGAUUAAGGGUUCGAUAGGGCCAGCAUGAGCAUCUAAGUAAAGAAGACUAAAGUGAAGCAGCUAGAUAACCGAGUCAACCGGCACGCGUACCUCACGCAUCUGUGCGAGCUGCGCAGGAGACACCACACUUAGGAGCUGGUGGGGUACCUCCUCCGACACUCACUUGACUACCUCAGUGCCCGACUACCACCUGACAACCUACACUCCACGCCUUGUCUCAAACCCGAACAACGACAAGCAUACCCCCGUGACUUCCGUCUACUCACAUUCAUCUAGCACCCUAACUAUUUAUCGUCGUUCCACACUCGCCGAAGACGCCUGCUGGUACUCUAGCACCGGAGAAUAACAACCACGACAGUCUAAAGAUGGUUUAUUACCCCGUGAUGGUUUCGAUCACCAUACACACCUUGUGGUCUCUCCGGCAACUAAACGAAUAUAUACCAAGACGAUAAGUCGUUCCAGUCUUCACGAAUGCGCACUAAAGUAGCCUACAGCUUGCUUCGUUAACCCGUAGCGAAGUACUAAGCACUUCGCAGCUCGCACGAACCCGUACUGAAGCGGUAUGCAACUCACUUCGUUAGUUGAAAUUAGAGGUACCAACCUGGAGAAAUAUAUCCAACGCGACCGACAAACCUGCACCGGCUUUGGUACACCUUCAGACUAGUAUACGAAGAGAAUAAAACGUGCAUAGGGCAGGAACAAACCUUAACAGUCGGGUCAAGAAAAUCCCCUACCUAUGACAUUCAAAUUAGCAUCGUACAACCCGAGCAUAUACACCAACAGGGACCGGCUAACUACUUUUCUAUCGAUGAGGUGGAGCACGGGCAAAGACAAAAACUACCUAAGGUCAACCUUGGAGAUACAUGUGACGAAGAGAUAAUAAAAAGGGGUCUACUUUCUCUUUUUGCACUUCCUAGAAAAAGUCUAGAACAUAU